ACACUUACCUGGCAGGGGCAAUACCAUGGUCAUGAAGGUGGUUUUCCCAGGGUGUUGUUUAUCCACUGCACUCUGGAUGUGCUGACCCUGGCAGUUUCUCCAAAUGUGAGAAACUGGACUGUACAAUUUGUGUUGAUGGAGUACUGCCUGUGUACUCUCCAC